rnacentral:rRNA from 1 species
GACGAACGCUGGCGGCGUGGAUUAGGCAUGCAAGUCGAACGGUAGGAUACCUUCGGGUAUCUGAGAGUGGCGAACGGGUGAGUAACACGUAGGUGAUCUACCCUCAAGAUUGGGACAACCCAGGGAAACUUGGGCUAAUACUGGAUGAAAGCAGCAGUGAUGUUGUUUGAAAGGUGGCGUAAGCUGCCGUUUGGGGAUGAGCCUGCGCUCUAUUAGUUAGUUGGCGGGGUAAAGGCCCACCAAGGCGAUGAUAGAUAGGCGGCCUUAACGGGUGGUCGCCCACACUGGGAUUGAGAUACGGCCCAGACUCCUACGGGAGGCAGCAGUCGAGAAUAGUCUACAAUGGCCGAAAGGCUGAUAGUGCGACGCCGCGUGAACGAAGAAGCCCUUCGGGUGUAAAGUUCUUUUAUAUGUGAGCAGUGCUUUCUAUGUGAACAGCAUGGGGAAGAGAUAUUAGCAUAUGAAUAAGCAACGGCUAACUCCGUGCC